GGUGGUUUUAGUACGUAGGCGCCUUUGAUGGCAAAGCGUGCAUGCUGCUGGUGCUGGCCCGUAGUGCCUUUUGAAGAUUACUACC
rfam:Glossina palpalis gambiensis isolate 146720 unplaced genomic scaffold Scaffold310, whole genome shotgun sequence.